rnacentral:rRNA from 1 species
GAGAGACUCGGUGAAAUUAUAAUACCCGUGAAGAUGCGGGUUACCCGCGACAGGACGGAAAGACCCCAUGGAGCUUCACUGUAGCUUGAUAUUGAGUAUCUUUUAAACAUGUACAGGAUAGGUAGGAGCCAGAGAAGAUAGGACGCUAGUCUUAUUGGAGGCAAUGUUGGGAUACUACCCUUGUUUGAAGGAUGCUCUAACCUCGACCUGUAAGCCAGGCCAGGGACAGUGUCAGGUGGGCAGUUUGACUGGGGCGGUCGCCUCCUAAAGUGUAACGGAGGCGCUCAAAG